AACUUUGGGGGUUUGAAUUUGCAAGUUGGGUUUGCCGUCCAGGGUUAGUGUUUCGGAUUGGGGAAAUAUUUUUUGGAUUUCCUUCAACAUUCAAUUCUAACUGAAUAGAUUAAAUAUCAUAAUUAUCUUAUCAGCACCGACCAUUAGCAAUUAUAGCCUUAACCGAAACAAUAAACGACUAAAACAUGAUCAAUGGCUUUAAUACUGUAUGCCACAUCUAGUGCUUAACCAUGCAAUUAUCAUAACUGAGGGUAAGGUGGAACUUAAUCAUGAUCAUCAACUGAAAGCCAGUAACGUCUGAAUGCUUUGAAGCAGUGGGGGUAGUGAUCUCGAGGCACCGGGUCAACGGCAAUGUGGCUACCCUCGUUGUCAGGCCAGAAGUCACCUGGUGGACUUAGCCCUGCACUAUAUGUCACUGCUGCUGCCAAUGUAGCUGCAACCAGCAAGAAACUAUGGUUCCGCUCCAGUUCCUCCUCUUUGUCAUGGAGAGGAGCAUCUGGAUCAUCUCUUAUGUUGUUCCUUCUGCUGAAAAUUUGUGCUAUAUAGAAUCCUCUCAGAACCUCUGGAUAUCCCUGAAAAUUUCUCGAAGCCAUCCAGGCGCUAGAUGCUGGAAGAACACUACAUUAAGUGUGACAUAUGUGAAGAUGCCAACAAGUAAUACCCAAAUGUAAACGGAUGUUCUGACCUCCCUGUAUCUCCCAGCAGCAUAGGCCCCCAUAAGUCCCAGCAGGUCAAGCAACAUCGCGAACUGCAGCGAAUGGAGCCAAAUUGCAUUCCGGCACAGCUCCCUGACCAGAAACAGGAUCAGAACAGUGACUGAUGUCAUGAAUGCCGUUGUGUUGCAGUAGAACACCUUGUACCGCUUGGUGUGGCUAAGAAACAUGACAAUGUCACUGGGAAGGUAGCUGGUUAUCUGGCCAGAGCAUUGAUUACGGGUUGAGUUACUACUCAAGACAGCAACUAGUCGAGACUAGUGGCUAGACUAGUCUAUGAGUCACACUCUGGGUGUCGACUAGAAAUCUCGUGUAGACUAGUUCGCCGAAUCGAGCAGUCGAAGGACCAGUCAUGCACCUUGAGUCGUUCGACUAAAAAAGAAUUAGGGAUUGGGAGGGGAUAAGUGAGCCACCCGCCCAGCCCGCAGCCUGUGGGAGGGAAAAUUUCAUCUCCUAGGUUUCCAGCUCGCUCUGAGCUGCCUUGCCUGGGAGUCUGGUAAGAGGCGCCACCUGCACCCAUUAUCCCACCGGCGCUGCCACCCACCACCGCCUCUCCGCCACUGCGCUCUGGCCCUUUCCCUCCAUUGCUCCUGCUCUCCCUGCAUCUGCUGGCUACUGGAUCCACUCAUCCGCCAGGUUGCAGCAAGCAAGCAAGCAUAACCCUUAGGUCUGAACUGCAAAGUCUACGCCAUUGGAGAUAUCUCCUUCAAGAAGCCAACUAGGAGCAAGGAUCCAGCAAGGAAAUAUGCUUAUUGGCCUGAUCUGACAAGCAAAGACGACAAUCAUGGACAUCCCUGACAAAAGCUCUUUGGACAUGGACAACACUACCAGUGUGUUCAGCAAUCAAAUCUUGAUGGGAACGAGCAUGGAUCCAACUUGUGCGUUCAGCAAUCAAAUCUUGAUGGGAACGAGCAUGGAUCCAACUUGUGCGCUCUCCGGAGCAACAACUCCUCCAGAUGGACUCCCUCAUGUGGAGCAUUCUAAGGUCAUCCCCAUAGACCUAUCAUCAUCUCACCAAGUGCCAAGUGGACCCAUGACACGAGCACGUGCAAGAGCUCUCAAAACCGAGGUGACAUCACUCCUCUUGCAACUCCCUUUCGAAUCAUUUGAGACAUGGCUACUACCUCAAACAAAGACAUUUUGCAUACUCAAGUACCAAGGAGUUAGCCAUGGAGAAGCUAAGGAGCAAGGAGGAUCGAAAGAGGAGGGCAUAUGCAAAGACGGAGAAGAGAAAGGGCAAGACAGCAGAAGCCCGGAUGAUCCAGACCGUCGUCCGGACGAUCCAACCCCAGCCUGGACGAUCCGGACCACGACGCGGACAAUUCGACUACAACGCCCUCGACCACAGCAGGCCUCUUCGCGAAGUCGGAUCAUUCGGACCUAGUCGGAUGUCUGGACCCCACUCCGGACAUCCGGGCCGCCGCUUGCCUCCUCGGCACGUCCGGACCAUCCAGACCAUCUCCCGGAUCAUCCGGGUCCCUGAAGCCCGGAUCGUCCGGCUCCCCUUCCGGAUCAUUCGGACCCCUGCCUGUGCGUGUGUGUUGGGCCGAGGCCAAUGUACCCUUUUGUCCCCUUAGCCUAUAUAUAUGAUUCCUCCACUUUUCUAGGGUUAGCAAUGUGAUAGCUCAUUUUGGAGAUAGAGCUUUGCUCAUCCACUUGAUACUUUCUCCUUCGGAGACCGCGACCUUUAUGGAGAAGAUCCCCCAAGUGGAUUCAAGACCCCUCACGGGAAGACCCCUCAAGACCUCCUCAUGGAGAAGAACUACCGCCUCUUGUAUCGUCCUUUGUUGCAUUUGGAUAUUUUAUCAUUCUUUAUGUUCGUGGAUCUAGCACAUGUGUGAUCGUUUCUCGUU